UCCAGCGGCCAUACCAUCCUGCAAGUGCCUGAUCCCGUCCAAUCAUGGAAGCUAGCCAGAGCCAGGCCUGGGUAGUACUUGCAUGGGAGACCACCUUAGAAGACCAGGGGCCACUGAAC
rnacentral:rRNA from 12 species